AUAGAACUGGAAAUAGGAGAUAGGGGAGGGACAAGAGAAGGCCAAUAAUCUAUGAGUUUAUGUCCUCAGCUUUGAAUGGUAGGACCGUAUCUGCUAUGCAGUUUUUGAAAUAUAGCUGUGCCAUGUCACUGAACCUUCACACUGGGAUUCAGCUGCCAUGCUUCACCUUGGGUAUAAUGAUGACAGUGGCUGAGAAAGGUGACUCCCUCCAUUGAUGUAUUUCCCCAUGAUUACCUUCCACCAAAUGAUACUAAUACUCCUGAAAAUACUUAACAUUUACAAAAUGUUUAUUUUCUGAUUCAUGCCAAAGUACUUGUAAGCCUCCUUUUUUCUC
rnacentral:lncRNA from 1 species